UACGAAGGGGGCUAGCGUUGUUCGGAUUUACUGGGCGUAAAGCGCGCGCAGGCGGCUUUGCAAGUCAGGGGUGAAAUCCCAGAGCUCAACUCUGGAAUUGCCUUUGAGACUGUGAGGCUUCGAGUACGGGAGAGGUGAGUGGAAUUCCCAGUGUAGAGGUGAAAUUCGUAGAUAUUGGGAAGAACACCGGUGGCGAAGGCGGCUCACUGGCCCGUUACUGACGCUCAGGCGCGACAGCGUGGGGAUCAAACAGG
rnacentral:rRNA from 2 species